GAUGAAGAACGCAGCGAAAUGCGAUAAGUAAUGUGAAUUGCAGAAUUCAGUGAAUCAUCGAAUUUUUGAACGCACAUUGCGCCCCUUGGUAUUCCGAGGGGCAUGCCUGUUCGAGCGUCAUUAUAACCCCUCAAGCUCAGCUUGGUGUUGGGGCCUGCUGCACUGGCAGCCCUUAAAAUCAGUGGCGGCGCCAUCUGGCUCUAAGCGUAGUAAUUCUUCUCGCUAUGGAGUCCUGGUGGAUGCUUGCCAUCAACCCCCAAUUUUUCUAUGGUUGACCUCGGAUCAGGUAGGGAUACCCGCUGAACUUAAGCAUAUCAAUAAGCGGAGGA
rnacentral:misc_RNA from 1 species